rnacentral:rRNA from 1 species
AUGCAAGCAGUGAGGAAUAUUGGUCAAUAGCCUAACGGCUGAACCAGCAACUAGGAGGAAUGAAGAAUUACUGUAAAAGGUAAUUUUCUAUAUAAGAAAUUAAAUAUAGAGUUAACGUAGUUAAGUAAAAUUCCGAGUAUAAAUUGAUUAUGACAGUUUAUAUGAGUAUGUCUUGACCAAUUCAUGUGCCAGCAGUCGCGGUAACACAUGUAAGACUGGUGUUAUUCAUCUUUAAUCGGUUUAAAGGGUACCUAGACAGUUAAUUAAGCCUUAAAAGGUACUAAUAAACUAGAGUUUAAUGUAAGAAGAAGAGUACGGUGAGUGUAGAGAUAAAAUUCAGUGAUACCACUUAGAAACUGGCAAAAGCGAAGGCAAUCUUCUAUGUAAAAACUGACGUUGAGGGACGAAGGCUUGUUAAAAAUAAUAGGAUUAGAUACCCUAGUAUUGUGAGCAGACAAUGAUGAGUGUCAUAUGCAAGAAUUCAUUUUUUGUGUAUAAAUGAAAGUGUAAGCACUCCACCUCAAGAGUAAUAUGGCAACAUAUAAACUGAAAUCAUUAGACCGUUUCUGAAACUCGUAGUGAAGUAUGUUGUUUAAUUUGAUGAUCCACAAAGAACCUUACCACAAUUUGAAUAGCUAUAUCUUGUAUUUAUACAAUAUAGUUACAAGCGUUGCACGGCUGUCUUCAGUUAAUGUCGUGAGACUUUGGUUAGAUCCAUUAAAUUAACGUAUAACCCUUACUUUAUUUAGUAUAAAAUAGUUCGCCGCUAUAUUGGUAGUGAUAUAAGGGACCAAGACAAGUCAUCAUGGC